rnacentral:tRNA from 1 species
AUUUUCUUAGUAUAACUAGUAUAAGUGACUUCCAAUCAUUUGGUCUUGGUGAAACUCCAGGAGAAAAUA